ACUGAACGCUGGCGGCAGGCCUAACACAUGCAAGUCGAGCGGCAGCGGGAAAGUAGCUUGCUACUUUUGCCGGCGAGCGGCGGACGGGCGAGUAAUGCCUGGGAAAUUGCCCAGUCGAGGGGGAUAACAGUUGGAAACGACUGCUAAUACCGCAUACGCCCUACGGGGGAAAGCAGGGGACCUUCGGGCCUUGCGCGAUUGGAUAUGCCCAGGUGGGAUUAGCUAGUUGGUGAGGUAAUGGCUCACCAAGGCGACGAUCCCUAGCUGGUCUGAGAGGAUGAGCAGCCACACUGGAACUGAGACACGGUCCAGACUCCUACGGGAGGCAGCAGUGGGGAAUAUUGCACAAUGGGGGAAACCCUGAUGCAGCCAUGCCGCGUGUGUGAAGAAGGCCUUCGGGUUGUAAAGCACUUUCAGCGAGGAGGAAAGGUUGAUGCCUAAUACGUAUCAACUGUGACGUUACUCGCAGAAGAAGCACCGGCUAACUCUGUGCCAGCCGCCGCGGUAAAAC
rnacentral:rRNA from 1 species